rnacentral:rRNA from 1 species
AGAGUUUGAUCCUGGCUCAGAAUCAACGCUGGCGGCGUGCCUCAGACAUGCAAGUCGAACGCGAAAGUUCCCUUCGGGGGGCGAGUAGAGUGGCGCACGGGUGAGUAACACGUAGGUAAUCUACCUUCGGAUGGGGAAUAACAACCGGAAACGGUUGCUAAUACCGCAUAAUGCAGCGGCACCUAAUGGUGACAGUUGUUAAAGCGGGGGAUCGUAAGACCUCGCGUCUGGAGAGGAGCCUGCGGCGGAUUAGCUAGUUGGUAAGGUAACGGCUUACCAAGGCUAUGAUCCGUAGCCGGCCUGAGAGGGCGGUCGGCCACACUGACACUGACAUACGGGUCAGACUCCUACGGGAGGCAGCAGUCGGGAAUUUUGGGCAAUGGGCGAAAGCCUGACCCAGCAACGCCGCGUGAAGGAUGAAAUCCUUCGGGAUGUAAACUUCGCAAGAACGGGAAGAAUAAGCCGGUAUUAACACCACCGGUGAUGACGGUACUGUUUGUAAGCUCCGGCUAACUCCGUGCCAGCCGCCGCGGUAAUAC